rnacentral:rRNA from 1 species
UAGGGAAUCUUCGGCAAUGGACGAAAGUCUGACCGAGCAACGCCGCGUGAGUGAAGAAGGUUUUCGGAUCGUAAAACUCUGUUGUUAGAGAAGAACAAGGGUGAGAGUAACUGUUCACCCCUUGACGGUAUCUAACCAGAAAGUCACGGCUAACUACGUGCAG